rnacentral:rRNA from 13 species
UUGGGUCCAUCCCCGAACUCACUGAAAUCGGCAUGUGUGUGUAUAUCGGCAUCUCCACAUACUUGUU